GGGGGAUUUUCCAGUUUUCGGACAAUAACUCAAAAAUGCUGUCAGCAAUUCACAUGAAACUUUAGUGAAUUGUUUAUAUCUAUUGAUGUAAGCUCCCUUUUGAUUUUUAUAAAUUUCUAAUAUGACAUUGAGAAUUAAUUGAACUUUAUUUGUUUAUAGUCUGACAACAGAUUUACUAAGUAUAGUGCAACAGCACAGUGUAUCGCACAACAGCAAGAAAUCUUUAAUUGAAUAUAAAUUCAAUUCAUAUAACCAAUUUCAAGUUCUUUGACUACAUUUAUUCAGAAACCUAUAAUAUGUCAAAUAUUUAAUUACAAUCCAAAUUCAGAUCUGUAUAAAGAUUGAAUAUUGUGUCCCUUUUUGCC
rnacentral:lncRNA from 1 species